rnacentral:lncRNA from 1 species
GGGAAAGGGGGCAAAAGCUGACAUUCACAGUGAGACGUGGCUAUGCAGGAGAGUCCCAGAGAGAACUGGACCCUGAGUCGAAGACUGUGGCACCCAUGGAAAAGUAGUACACACUCAAACUCAGAGCUUUAGAGUUCAGUCGUCCUUUAAAAUGAUGAUGAAGAUGCAUACGGUGGUGAUGAUGGUGGGGUGACAAUGAUGGUGGUGAUGGUGGUAGAGGUCAUGAUGGUGGUGGUGAGGAGAUGGUGAUGACGGUAGUGAAGGUGAUGAUGGUGGUGAUGGUGGUAGUAAAGGUCACAAUGAUGGUGAUGGUGGUGAUGAUGGUGAUGAUGGUGGUGAUGGUGGUAGUAAAGGUCAUGAUGAUGGUGAUGGUGGUGAUGAUGAUGGUGAUGGUGGUAGAGGUCAUGAUGGUGGUGGUGAGGAGAUGGUGAUGACGAUAGUGAAGGUGAUGAUGGUGGUGAUGGUGGUAGUAAAGGUCAUGAUGAUGAUGAUGGUGGUGAAGAUGGUGGGGUGACAUUGAUGGUGGUGAUGGUAGUAAAGGUCAUGAUGGUGGUGGUGAGGAGAUGGUGAUGACGGUAGUGAAGGUGAUGAUGGUGGUGAUGGUGGUAGUAAAGGACAUGAUGAUGGUGAUGGUGGUGAUGAUGGUGGUGAUGGUGGUAGAGGUCAUGAUGGUGGUGGUGAGGAGAUGGUGAUGACAGUAGUGAAGGUGAUGAUGGUGGUGAUGGUGGUAGUAAAGGUCAUGAUGAUGGUGAUGGUGGUGAUGAUGGUGGUGAUGGUGGUGAUGAUGGUGGUGAUGGUGGUAGAGGUCAUGAUGGUGGUGGUGAGGAGAUGGUGAUGACGGUAGUGAAGGUGAUGAUGGUGGUGAUGGUGGUAGAGGUCAUGAUGGUGGUGGUGAGGAGAUGGUGAUGACGGUAGUGAAGGUGAUGAUGGUGGUGAUGGUGGUGAUGAUGGUGGUGAUGGUGGUAGUAAAGGUCAUGAUGAUGAUGAUGGUGGGGUGACAAUGAUGGUGGUGAUGGUAGUAAAGGUCAUGUUGGUGGUGGUGAGGAGAUGGUGAUGACGGUAGUGAAGGUGAUGAUGGUGGUGAUGGUGGUAGUAAAGGUCAUGAUGAUGAUGAUGGUGGUGAUGAUGGUGGGGUGACAUUGAUGGUGGUGAUGGUAGUAAAGGUCAUGAUGGUGGUGGUGAGGAGAUGGUGAUGACGGUAGUGAAGGUGAUGAUGGUGGUGAUGGUGGUAGUAAAGGACAUGAUGAUGGUGAUGGUGGUGAUGAUGGUGGUGAUGGUGGUAGUAAAGGUCAUGAUGAUGAUGAUGGUGGUGAUGAUGGUGGGGUGACAAUGAUGGUGGUGAUGGUAGUAAAGGUCAUGAUGGUGGUGGUGAGGAGAUGGUGAUGACGAUAGUGAAGGUGAUGAUGGUGGUGAUGGUGGUAGUAAAGGUCACGAUGAUGGUGAUGGUGGUGAUGAUAGAGUAGAGGUUAUAAAGAGGGUGAUGAGGAGGAUGGUGAUGACGGUAGUGAAGGUAACGAUGGUGAUGAUGAUGGUGAUGAUAGUGGUAGUAGAGGUUAUGGUGUUGGCGAUAAAUUGAAAGUAGUGAUGAUGGUGAUGGUAUCAAAGAUGAUGGUGGUGGUGACAAUGAGGAUAGUAGUAAAGGUGAUGGUGAUGGUGACAAUGAUAUGGUGAUGAUGAUAGUAGAGGUCAUGAUGAUGGUGAUAAUGAUGAUGGUGAUGACGGUAGUAAAGGUGAUAUUGAUGGUGAUGUGAUGAAGAGGGAGGUAGGGAUGAUGCCAAGGAUAAUGGUGAUGAUGAGGGGGAUGGUGAAGUUGAUGAAGAUGAUGAUGUUAAUGCUGGGCACAGAGGAGCUCUGUGGCUGGAGAGAGGUGAGAGGGCACUCUGCAUUUUCUGUGUUCCUUUGGAGGCAUUUUGCUUGAGUUUGGUAAGUCAUGGGCUCUUGUCUUUGAGGCACAGAUUUCUGCAGAAAAUCAUC